rnacentral:tRNA from 1 species
GCCCAGGUGGCGGAAUGGUAGACGCGCUAGCUUGAGGUGCUAGUUCCUAACUUUUCAGGAGUACGGGUUCAACUCCCGUCCUGGGCA